rnacentral:sRNA from 1 species
GCAGUCGCACGCCACCGACCUCUGAGCGGGUCAGACGCCCUUGUGCUUUUUGUUUCUAGGGACAGAGUCCCCAAGUGGGUGCACGUGUUAAUCGGAAAAGUGGUCCUGGAGCUGGAGCGCCUGCUGCCCCAGCCCUUCACCGGCGAGAUCCGCGGCAUGUGUGACUUCAUGAACCUCAGCCUGGCGGACUGCCUUCUGGUCAACCUGGCCUACGAGUCCUCCGCGUGAGUGCCCCAAGCCGGCGCAGAGUAACGCGGAGCUUGCGGGGGCCUCCGACACAGACUAGCGGGAGGAGACAUGUUUUCCGUGUGAUAAAAACAGGGUGGUGCCUGCUUGCCCCGAAACCUCCAGCGUUUCCUCUUUGCCUCUGUGGGUAAAUCUGAGCUGCACAUCUUAGGCUUCGAGAGGGAAAGCAGCUUCUCCGAUUCAACACUAAACUUUCCCUCUACCGGUAGCCCCGGGUUUUCUCUUCCCCAAUCCAGAUUCUGCACCAGUAUUGUGGCUCAAGACUCCAGAGGCCACAUUUACCAUGGUCGGAAUCUGGAUUAUCCUUU